rnacentral:miRNA from 1 species
AAAGUCUUCUAUACUUUUAGUC